rnacentral:Y_RNA from 1 species
AGCUGGUCUGAGUACAGUGGUGGUUACAACUAAUUGAUCACAACCAGUUCCAGAUUUCUUUGUUCCUUCUCUAUUUCCACUGCUUCACUUGACUAGCCUUAA